rnacentral:tRNA from 1 species
UCUGAAAUAGCUCAGUUGGUAGAGCCUCGGACUAUAAAUCGAUAAGUCCUUGGUUCAAUCCCGGAUUCCGGCA